rnacentral:rRNA from 1 species
GUAGGUGGCAAGCGUUGUCCGGAAUUAUUGGGCGUAAAGCGCGCGCAGGCGGUUCUUUAGGUCUGAUGUGAAAGCCCACGGCUCAACCGUGGAGGGUCAUUGGAAACUGGAGAACUUGAGUACAGAAGAGGAAAGCGGAAUUCCACGUGUAGCGGUGAAAUGCGUAGAGAUGUGGAGGAACACCAGUGGCGAAGGCGGCUUUCUGGUCUGUAACUGACGCUGAGGCGCGAAAGCGUGGGGAGCAAACAGGGAUUAGAUACCCUGGUAGUCCACGCCGUAAACGAUGAGUGCUAAGUGUUAGGGGGGUUUCCGCCCCCUUAGUGCUGCAGCUAACGCAUUAAGCACUCCGCCUGGGGAGUACGGCCGCAAGGCUG